UACGUAGGUGGCAAGCGUUGUCCGGAUUUACUGGGUGUAAAGGGCGUGCAGCCGGAGAGGCAAGUCAGAUGUGAAAACCCGGGGCCCAACCCCGGGAGUGCAUUUGAAACUGUCUGGCUAGAGUGCAGGAGAGGUAAGUGGAAUUCCUAGUGUAGCGGUGAAAUGCAUAGAUAUUAGGAGGAACACCAGUGGCGAAGGCGGCUUACUGGACUGUAACUGACACUGAGGCUCGAAAGCGUGGGGAGCAAACAGG
rnacentral:rRNA from 1 species